GGAGCAAGACCGCGUGAGGGAGGAAGGCUCUUGGGUUGUAAACCUCUUUUCUCAGGGAAGAAGCUCUGACGGUACCUGAGGAAUCAGCCUCGGCUAACUCCGUGCCAGCAGCCGCGGUAAUACGGAGGAGGCAAGCGUUAUCCGGAAUUAUUGGGCGUAAAGCGUCCGCAGGUGGCGAUUCAAGUCUGCUGUCAAAGCACGGGGCUUAACUCCGUUAAGGCAGUGGAAACUGAAUGGCUAGAGUGCCGUAGGGGUAGAGGGAAUUCCCGGUGUAGCGGUGAAAUGCGUACAGAUCGGGAAGAACAUCGGUGGCGAAAGCGCUCUACUGGACGGCAACUGACACUCAGGGACGAAAGCUAGGGGAGCGAAUGGGAUUAGAUACCCCAGUAAUCA
rnacentral:rRNA from 1 species